UUAAUGAUUACGCACGGUCUUUGGCUAAUUACUUCCAAGUCCUUAAUUAGAAUAUAUCGAUUAGUUAUUAGUAUCAAUUACGUCUGCUUAAUUAUUACGCACGGUCCUUGGCUAAUUACUUCCAAGUCCUUAAUUAGAAUAUAUCAAUUAGUUAUUAGUAUCAAUUACGUCUGCUUGAUUAUUAUGCACGGUCCUUGGCUAAUUAAUUCCAAGUCCUUAAUUAGAAUAUAUAUAUAUCAAUUAGUUAUCAGUAUCAAUUACGUCUGCUAAAUUAUUACGCACGGUCCUUGGCUAAAUAAUUCCAAGUCCUUAACUAGAAUACAUCAAUUAGUUAUUAGUAUCAAUUACGUCUGCUUAAUUAUUAUGCACAGUCCUUGGCCAAUUAAUUCCAAGUCCUUAAUUAGAAUACAUCAAUUGGAUAUUAGAACGCACGGUCUUUGGCUAAUUAAUUCAAAGUCCUUAAUUAGAAUAUAUCGAUUAGUUACUAGUAUCAAUUACGUCUGCUACAUUAUUGUAUUAUUAUCACAAAAUGGAUUCAUCUACAUUUCAAUGCACGAAAUUGCUGAGCAAAAUCAGAUAACGAAGAAGUAUUUUAUGCCUAAACCAUAGUCAAUGAAGAUAUGAUCUGGAGAGAGUUUCAAAUUUGUUCCAUUUUUU